AUUGAACGCUGGCGGCAUGCCUUACACAUGCAAGUCGAACGGUAACAGGUCUUCGGAUGCUGACGAGUGGCGAACGGGUGAGUAAUACAUCGGAACGUGCCUAGUAGUGGGGGAUAACUACUCGAAAGAGUGGCUAAUACCGCAUGAGAUCUACGGAUGAAAGCAGGGGAUCGCAAGACCUUGUGCUACUAGAGCGGCCGAUGGCAGAUUAGGUAGUUGGUGGGAUAAGAGCUUACCAAGCCGACGAUCUGUAGCUGGUCUGAGAGGACGAUCCGCCACAGUGGGACUGAGACACGGCCCAGACUCCUACGGGAGGCAGCAGUGGGGAAUUUUGGACAAUGGGCGAAGGCCUGAUCCAGCAAUGCCGCGUGCAGGAUGAAGGCCUUCGGGUUGUAAACUGCUUUUGUACGGAACGAAAAGCCCCGGGUUAAUACCCUGGGGUCAUGACGGUACCGUAAGAAUAAGCACCGGCUAACUACGUGCCAGCCGCCGCCGUAA
rnacentral:rRNA from 1 species